UUUGAUCCUGGCUCAGAACGAACGCUGGCGGCGUGGAUUAGACAUGCAAGUCGAACGAGUUUCAUUUGGUAGCAAUACCGAGCGAAGCUAGUGGCGAACGGGUGCGUAACACAUGAGUCAUCUGCCCAGAAGUGGGGAAUAGCUCGGCGAAAGCCGGAUUAAUACCGCAUGUGGUCGUAAGACCAAAGCCGGGGCAACCUGGCGCUUUUGGAGGAGCUCGUGGCCUAUCAGCUAGUUGGUGAGGUAACGGCUUACCAAGGCAACGACGGGUAGCUGGUCUGAGAGGACGACCAGCCACACUGGAACUGAGAUACGGUCCAGACACCUACGGGUGGCAGCAGUCGAGAAUUUUUCUCAAUGGGGGAAACCCUGAAGGAGCG
rnacentral:rRNA from 1 species